rnacentral:rRNA from 1 species
UACGUAGGGGGCAAGCGUUGUCCGGAUUUACUGGGCGUAAAGAGCGCGUAGGCGGAAGCUUAAGUGUGGUUUGAAAGCCCCCGGCUCAACCGGGGAAUGUGAUUGCAAACUGGGCUUCUUGAGGGGGAUAGAGGAGAGUGGAAUUCCUGGUGUAGCGGUGAAAUGCGCAGAUAUCAGGAAGAACACCCGUGGCUAAGGCGGCUCUCUAGUACGGUACUGACGCUGAGACGCGAAAGCGUGGGGAGCGAACAGG